UGCGAGUCUUUGUAGUAAUACAAGGCAGACGGCUCAGUAACACGUAGUCAACCUACCCUAUGGACGAGUAAUAAUCUCGGGAAACUGAGCAUAAUCCUUGAUAGAUCAUAAUGCCUGGAAUGGUUUAUGGUUAAAAUGAUUCGUCGCCAUAGGAUGGGACUGCGGCCUAUCAGCUUGUUGGUGAGGUAAUGGCCCACCAAGGCGAUUACAGGUACGGGCUCUGAGAGGAGAAGCCCGGAUAUGGKUACUGAGACACGGACCCAGGCCCUAUGGGGCGCAGCAUGCGAGAAAACUUUGCWAUGUGCGAAAGCACGACAWGGUUAAUCCGAGUGAUUUCUGCUWAAGAAAUCUUUUGCCAGUCGUAANAUCACUGGUGAAUAAYGGGUGGGCAAGUUCUGUU
rnacentral:rRNA from 1 species